rnacentral:rRNA from 1 species
UACAGAGGGUGCGAGCGUUAAUCGGAAUUACUGGGCGUAAAGCGCACGUAGGCGGCUUGGUAUGUCAGGCGUGAAAGCCCCGGGCUCAACCUGGGAACCGCGCUUGAGACUGGAGAACUAGAGUUCGGGAGAGGAUGGUGGAAUUCCCAGUGUAGAGGUGAAAUUCGUGGAUAUUGGGAAGAACACCGAUGGCGAAGGCAGCCAUCUGGACCGACACUGACGCUGAGGCGCGAAAGCGUGGGGAGCAAACAGG